GAAAUUCCUGUACCGCGAUAUAACAGAACUGUGGGGACACGUGUGGAGAGCACAAGCCGGGAAUGGAAAGCCCGGCGCAAGCGAGGUAGGAGUCGUACUGGCAAAUCCGUACGGCAAUCCGAAGACGUGAUGCGUACCGAACUAAGAGUAGGGAAGAGUGUGAGCCAUGCGUCAAGAAAAGCCGCUAUUGUUUGUAUCGCGCCCGUACCGUAAACCGACACAGGUGGAUGAGGAGAGAAUCCUAAGGCCGACGGGAGAAGCAUUGUUAAGGAACUCGGCAAAAUGACUCCGUAACUUCGGGAGAAGGAGUGCCUCUGAGAGGUGGCCGCAGAGAAUUGGCCCAAGCAACUGUUUAGCAAAAACACAGGUCUAUGCAAAACCGAAAGGUGAAGUAUAUGGGCUGACGCCUGCCCGGUGCUGGAAGGUUAAGGGGAGAGGUUAGCGCAAGCGAAGCUUUGAACUUAAGCCCCAGUAAACGGCGGCCGUAACGAUAACGGUCCUAAGGUAGCGAAAUUCCUUGUCGGGUAAGUUCCGACCCGCACGAAAGGCGUAAUGAUUUGGGCACUGUCUCAACAAUGCACCCGGUGAAAUUGAAAUACCAGUGAAGAUGCUGGUUACCUGCGCCAGGACGGAAAGACCCCAUGGAGCUUUACUCCAGCUUGAUACUGGGAUUCGGUAUUGCAUGUACAGGAUAGGUGGGAGGCUUUGAAACGGUGACGCCAGUUGCCGUGGAGCUGCUGUUGGGAUACCACCCUUGCAGUACUGGGUUUCUAACCAGCGGCCUUUAUCAGGUCGGGGGACAAUGUCAGGUGGGGAGUUUGACUGGGGCGGUCGCCUCCGAAAGGGUAUCGGAGGCGCUCAAAGGUUCCCUCAGAAUGGUCGGAAACCAUUCGAAGAGUGCAAAGGCAGAAGGGAGCUUGACUGCGACACCGACGGGUGGAGCAGGUACGAAAGUAGGACUUAGUGAUCCGGUGGUAUAAAGUGGGAUUGCCAUCGCUCAACGGAUAAAAGCUACCCUGGGAUAACAGGCUUAUCACUCCCAAGAGUUCACAUCGACGGAGUGGUUUGGCACCUCGAUGUCGGCUCAUCGCAUCCUGGGGCUGAAGUAGGUCCCAAGGGUUGGGCUGUUCGCCCAUUAAAGCGGUACGCGAGCUGGGUUCAGAACGUCGUGAGACAGUUCGGUCCCUAUCCGGCGUGGGCGUAGGAUAUUUGAGAGGAGCUGUCCUUAGUACGAGAGGACCGGGAUGGACUGGCCGCAGGUUGAUCUGUUGUUCCGCCAGGAGCAUAGCAGAGUAGCCAAGCCGGGACGGGAUAAACGCUGAAGGCAUCUAAGCGUGAAGCCCCCCUCAAGAUGAGAUAUCCCAACGAAAGUUGUAAGACCCCUUGAAGACGACGAGGUAGAUAGGACAGAGGUGGAAGUGUGGUAACACAUGGAGCUGACUGUUACUAAUAGGUCGAGGGCAUAACCU
rnacentral:rRNA from 1 species